rnacentral:lncRNA from 1 species
GUGGAGAGAAGAAUACCUGUUGCCAAUCGUGGUACUACAAAAUCAGAUUAUGGUGAUAUCUAUUAGAGGUAAAAAAGUUUUCUGACAAAUUCAUUUCAAGCGUGGGGUAGCGCUUAAAUGAUGCAAUCUCAACACCUUUCAAUUCUAAACAUACAUGAGACCAACCAACAGUACGCUACCACCAAAAUUUUCAAACCAAAUUAAAUCAAAUCAUUCUUUCACCAAACCAAAUUAACCUUUAAAGUUUACAAACCCGAUAAUUGUACUAUCAACUAUUUCCAAACAAUUCAAAAUUUCUUCUCUUUUAGGUCAAGCUUCACCUCUCUAGUGCAUACCAAUAUAUAAUAAUUAUCAUUACUA